rnacentral:rRNA from 1 species
UACGUAGGGUGCGAGCGUUGUCCGGAAUUAUUGGGCGUAAAGAGCUCGUAGGCGGUCUGUCGCGUCGGAUGUGAAAACCCAGGGCUUAACCCUGGGCCUGCAUUCGAUACGGGCAGACUAGAGUUCGGUAGGGGAGACUGGAAUUCCUGGUGUAGCGGUGAAAUGCGCAGAUAUCAGGAGGAACGACCGGUGGCGAAGGCGGGUCUCUAGGCCGACACGUGACGCUGAGGAGCGAAAGGCGUGGGGAGCGAACAGG